ensembl:lncRNA
CUGUAGCUGUAGAGCCCUGCAGAACUUUACGUUCGUUGGUCUUUUGUUGUUUUUUUGUUGUUUUUUUGUUGUUCAUGCAAAAAUAAAUGAAGAAGUACACUUUCCAAGCUGCGCUUUGGUCUUAUGCUGACGACGGACGUAACAAUAGCAGUGAGUACUGGGGUACCAGCCGGUUCUGGUGCCUUGACCGAGGUUCCUGCGGUGGACGACUGGUUCAGGCGCGCGGAGGAGACAUUGGAGGCUGUCCGUGUUCACCUUCAGCAGGCUGUGACUCGCCAAAAGGAGAACGCAGAUCGCCACCGCAGUAAGGCCCCGGUGUUCGGCUCUCGAAUCAAAACCUGCCCCUCCGCCUGCCCUGCCGGAAGCUGGGUCCGCGGUUUGUCCUGAGGAGAGUGAACAAGGCAGUACACUUUCUCUAUGGCCUGAGGGACUGCCACGGUCGUCAUAAAGAGGAGACCAAGCCUGCAGGUCCUCUCCAUGCAGCCUGACAUCCAGCCCCAGCCCUAGCAGUGCUCAGAACAGCAGCAGCCGGAUCAGCAGCAGCAGUGAGGCUUACGACAGCAUAGACAGCUGGAGCUCCGGGUCCACCUGCCUGCUCCACAGCUCCAUCAGUAAUCACAGCCAGGAGACCUUGCAGGCCAGACUCAGCAGCCCCAGCUCAGCCAGAGGACCUCACGGCAGAACUUGUGCAGACAGACUCCAGGGAGGGGCAUACUGCCUCGUGGGGCUACAUGAGGGGGCAGCACAGGCAG